rnacentral:rRNA from 1 species
CCUACGGGUGGCAGCAGUGAGGAAUAUUGGUCAAUGGGCGCGAGCCUGAACCAGCCAAGUCGCGUGAGGGAAGACGGCCCGACGGGGUGUAAACCUCUUUUGCCGGGGAGCAACGGGCGCCACGUGUGGCGCCACGGAGAGGACCCGGAGAAAAAGCAUGGGCGAACCCCGUGCCAGCAGCCGCGGUAAGACGGAGGAUGGGAGCGUGAUCGGGAUUGAUUGGGUGGAAAGGGUGCGGAGGCGGAGCGUGCAGUCAGGGGUCAAAUUGAGGGGCUCAACCCCCGCCCGCCAUUGAAACUGGCGCUCUUGAGUGGACGAGUGGUCUGCGUAAUGCGUGGUGUAGCGGUGCAAUGCAUAGCUAUCACGC